CCUCCGUUCUGCCGCCGUGAGGAAUAUUGGUCAAUGGCCGGAAGGCUGAACCAGCCAAGCCGCGUGAGGGAGGAAGGCGCCGAGCGUCGCAGACCUCUUUUGCCGGGGGACAAAAGGCCGGACUCGUCCGGUCCUGAGGGUACCCGGAGAAAAAGCAUCGGCUAACUCCGUGCCAGCAGCCGCGGUAAUCCGGGGGAUGCGAGCGUUAUCCGGAUUCAUGGGGUUUAAAGGGUGCGCAGGCGGGCCUUUAAGCCGGCGGUGAAAUCGCGGGGCUCAACCCCGCCGAGCCGUCGGAACUGGGGGCCUUGAGUGCGGCGGAGGCAUGCGGAAGGCGCGGUGUAGCGGUGAAAUGCAUAGAUACCGCGCAGAACCCCGAUUGCGAAGGCAGCGUGCCGUGCCGCCACUGACGCUGAGGCACGAAAGCGCGGGGAUCGAACAGGAUUAGAUACCCCGGUAGUC
rnacentral:rRNA from 1 species